GCGAGGGCGGAGCUGCGUUCUCCUCAACACAGACCCGGAUUGCAUCGCGAGGGCGAGCUGAGUUCUCCUCUGCACAGACUUCGAAGCUACAGCGAAGGCGGAGCAGUGUUCUCCUCAGCACAGACCCGGGCGGGCGGGCCGGGGGCACCGCGAGGGCGGAGCUGCGUUCUGCUCAGCACAGACCCGGGGGACACAGCGAAGGCAGAGCAGCGUUCUCCUCAGCACAGACCUUGGGAACACUGCCUCGCUUUGGGCAGAAUAGAUUACUGAUUUUGGGCACUCCAAGAUUUUGGGAGAGACCUCUCUCAUGAGAACCUUAUGUGGAACCCCCACCUGCUUGGCUCCUGAAGUUCUUGUUUCUGUUGGGACUGCUGGGUAUAACCGUGCUGUGGACUGCUGGAGUUUAGGAGUUAUUCUUUUUAUCUGCCUUAGUGGGUAUCCACCUUUCUCUGAGCACAGGACUCAAGUGUCACUGAAGGAUCAGAUCACCAGUGGAAAACACAACUUCAUUCCUAAAGUCUGGGCAGAAGUCUCAGAGAAAGUUGUUGCUUUAGCUCUGGACCUUGUCAAGAAGUUGUUGGUAGUGGAUCCAAAGGCAUGUUUUACAACAGAAGAAGCCUUAAGACACCGUGGCUUCAGGGCUGCCAAGGGAUGGACUUUUGAGAGUGACACUGCAAGAUAAUUGAGAUCCUAAGUAAAGCCGUGAGAGGGUGCGGAGAGGAAUCCAGAUGAGCUUGCUGCUGUCAAAUGGCAAUGGGGAGCUAGACUGAGAAACUCAAAACAUGGUGAACUCAAGUGUUCUGCCCUGCCUUGGCCUCCCAAAGUGCUGGGAUUACAGGAUCUGGGAUGCUAAUUCAGAAACUCUUGACUGCUGGAGGCUGUGAUUGACCCACUGAGAGCUUUUAGGCAUGUGGAUGUGAGUCAGCCAGGAUCGAUGGAGCAUUGACUGCUGAUUGGACUCCUGUGGGAAGGAUGAAGACAUGAAGAGAAAGUUUCAAGAUCUUCUGUUUGAGGAAAAUGAAUCCACAGCUCUACUCCAGGUUCUAGCCCAGCCUUCUACUAGUCGAAAGUGGCCUCGUGAAGGGGAAGCCGAGGGUGCCGAGACCACAAAGCGCCCGGCUGUGUGUGCUGCUGUGUUGUGAACUCCGUGGUUUGAACACGAAAGAAAUGUACCUUCUUUCACUCUGUCAUCUUUCUUUUCUUUGAGUCUGUUUUUUAUAGUGUGUAUUUUAAUUAUGGAAAUAAUUGCUUUUUCACAGUCACUGAUGUACAAUUAAAAACCUGAUGGAAUCUGGG